rnacentral:lncRNA from 1 species
AUACUAAUAAAAAAAUAUAAUAUUCUUCAAUAAUUUUUACAAAUAACAGUUUCUAAAGCAACAAAACUCAGGGCAUUGAAACAAAUUCCAAGACUCAUUACACUACAUAAUCUAAAGGAGACAUUCUCACUUCAACCUAAAAAAACCCAAUAUUUUGAAGUAACACAUAGUGAACACAAACAUUAACUAUCGGAUAACAAAAACAUGUACAUAACAAGAAUACUGGAAGCAUUCACGAAACAAUCAACACAUGUUUCCAUUCGAGCGAUCAAAAUAUUAUUAGCUUAAACUUUCUGGAUUCGAAAAUAGCUGCUCUUCUAAAAAAAUAGAAGGUCGUGCAAUAAUCCUCCAGUAGGUUGAGCCUUAGCUAAAUGCAAAUUGAUCUUAUAGGAUUAUAGAAUGAAUGAUGAUCUUAUUCAUUAGCAUGCUAGGUAUUUAUACAAUAGGAAUAGUUCUAGAUUAGAUAAUUAUAUAGACAACCUACUCUAUCAUAAUCUCACUAAUCUGGAAUUUUACUUAGUGUUAUUAUAGACUGAAAUUAGGCUAAUUACUACAGCUAACAUCUGACUAAUCAUAUCAUAUCACAUAAUUCUACACUUCCCCUUAAGCAUGGCUGUAAAUAUUUUUAAGGCCAAGCUUGCAAGCUUCUCAAACGUGAACCGUGUGAGGGCCUUUGUCAGAAUGUCGACAGUUUACAAUUUGGAAGGAACAUACAUUACUAGUUACAUAUAUCUAGCCUAAUUAUAAGCAGUAUAGUUGUAGUAAGAGGUUAGGUAGGGUAAUCCCUGAUUUGUAGGGAUUUACCGUGUGAUGAUUAUGCUCCCUAAUGGAGCAGCUUCUGUAUAUAUACUCCUAUUAAUCAGAAAUAAAAUACAAACCAAAUAUCCUAACAUUCUGGAAGUCUUUAUGGUAUCAGAACGAGGGUGCAUACACUAGAUCAAAGCCCCCCGUUACCUUUCUCCUAGUUUCCUAUCUCCCUCUCUAUCUUUCACUCUCACGCCAUGGCCAACACCAAUAAUGAAGUCCCUCGAACCGGAAACUCACCGCCGCAGUCACCAUUUGUGACCUCAGAAGACCCUUCUCUGAAGCGCACAAAUCCAGCAGUCCUGUUGGGGUUUGUCCUAAGCUGCAUCACCAAUCACCGACUAAAUGGAGACAACUACCAUCAAUGAUUUUCAUCAGUCCUCAAAUUUAUCUCAGGCAAGGGGAAGAGAGGAUACCUGACUGGAAACACUAAGCAGCCAACAGAAGAUGAUCCGAAAUUCAUCACCUGGGACAUUGAGGACAAUAUGAUCCAGUCAUAGCUCCUGAAAUCAAUGACCACAUCAAUCGGAGAAAAAUUUCUUCUCAUCAGACAGCUCACGAAAUCUGGGAAGGAGCGAGGCACACGUACUCAAACCAUGCCAACAACGCUGAAUCUUUUGAAGUGGAGAUGCGUCCUCAUGAUCUCAAACAAGGAGACCAAUAUGUCACUCAGUACUAUGAUGAACUGAGCAAGUAUUGGCUGCAGCCGGACCUGUACGAUGUCCAUCUAUGAAAAUGCACAGAUGAUGCGAAGCUCUAUCGACAGAUUCUCCAAACAAAACGGACCAUCCGUUUCCUCCUUGGCCUCAAUAGGGCCCUAGAUGAGGUUAAUGGCAGAAUCAUGGGGCGUCUACCUCUUCCUUCAGUCCGGGAGGCCUUCGCUGAAGUCAAGUGGGAGGAAAGCAGAAGAAAGCUCAUAAUAUCCGAUUCCAAGAGUACUCCAACUGAAGGAUCUGCUUGCCACUCAUUACCCUGAAAACUCACAAGGACAUGCUUACACCAAGUCUGGUAAGCCACGUCCUCAGUGUACCCACUACAACAGGAUAGGUCAUACAAAGGAGACGUGUUGGGAACUACAUGGGAAACCUGCUGACUGGAAGCCUAAGGCAGAAAGGGAGGCUCAUGCGCAGGCUACUGCAACUGAGCAGGCAUCACAAUUUGGUCAGAUCACAAAAGAGCAGUUUUUUGAUCCACCAGCAAAUGAUGUCUCAAUACACUGCUAAGAAGGCAUCUGCAGGUUCCUCUGAAACUCAUCACAGCCUAUUUGCUAGCCAAGGUAUUAAAUCUGCUGCUCUCAUUACUCUAAAUCAGUUCAAACAAAACCGGAUAUCGAAUUCUGGUGCCACUGAACACAUGACUGACUACAGACAACUCCACAAUAUUCAGGCUCAUGUAAGGAAAGCAGGAGUCCGCAUUGCCGAUGGGACCAUUACUCUUGUCGAAGGAAUUGGGACAGCCUACCUUACUCCUACUCAAGUUGUGUUUCCUAUGCUUUAUGUUCCAAAGCUAAACGGUAACCUGAUUUCUGUUAGCCAAAUCACACGGGACUUAAACUGUCGACUAACUUGUGAUCCAUCACAAUGUACAUUGCACGAGGUUUGAUCUCAGAGGAUGAUUGGCAAGUUUGAGCUGUGUGAUGGACUGUACCUUCUGAGGACAAUAAGCAGAUUAAGACUAGAAGGAGAGGUUUCCAAAUCAGUACAUUUAAGUUUUAAGUCGAGCCAGUUGGAAUGUCCCGUCAUAAUGUGGCAUUACUGGUUAGGUCAUUCUAACUUUUCCUAUCUCAAAAAAUUGUUUCCCAAGCUUUUUAUCAAUAAAAAUCCAAGUUCCUUUUAUUGUGAUGUCUGUCAACUUACAAAACAAACAAGGGUUGUCUAUUGUAGUAUACCGUACAAACCAACACGUCCCUUUUCCAUCAUUCACAGCGACAUUUGGGGUCCCUCUUCUGUAAAAACAGUUGGUGGUUUUCGGUGGUUCAUCACCUUUAUUGAUGAUCACACCUGACUAACAUGGACCUAUCUCAUGAAAUCAAAGGUUGAAACAAAACAAAUUUUCCAAACAUUUCAAAACCAAGUCAACAUAGUUUCAAACACCUAUUAGAGUCCUACACACAGAUAAUGCAAAGGAUUACCUCAAUCAAUCCUUGGAUUCUUUUCUCAUUGCCAACGUAGCUCACAGUAACUCUUGUCCUUACACUCCUCAGCAAAACGGAAUUGUUGAGCGCAAAAACCGUCACUUACUAGAGGUUGCAAGAGCCUCACUGUUCGCUGCUAAGGCUCCAAAAUCCUUGUGGGGUGAUGUUGUUCUCACAGCAACGUGCCUUAUCAAUCGCCUCCCCAGUCGUACUCUACGGUUUAAAACUCCUCGUAGUGUUCUGCUUAAGGUUUUUCCUCACAGUCAUGCUCUCUCAUCAGACCUUCGUCUUAGAAUAUUUGGAUGCACAGUUUUUGUCCAUUUAGACUCAUCUCUCCGUACUAAACUCGACCCUAGAGCAGUAAAGUGUGUCUUUCUUGGGUACUCUCCCCAUCAUAGUGGUUACAAGUGUUAUUCUCCGACUAAUCACAAAGCUUUAUCAUUCCAAAAAUGUCACGUUCUUUGAACAUCGUCCAUUCUACUCCCACUAUCAGCCUCAUGGGGAGAAUUCUGCUGAUGAGUCAAAGGAUGUUGAGUCCUCCAUUGGUAGUAUCAUUACUCUAGAAUCUCCGGUUGUCUUAGAGCCCCCUACAGUCGUCCAAAACUCUCCUACAGACCAAAGCCAAAGCCCUCCUCUUCUAGUGUAUCAGCGUAGGAAGAAGACGGCAGAAAUCACACAUGCUCAUCCUAACCAGGAAUCUGAUGAGACCUCAGCCUCCCAAGAGAAUGAGUCAGAACAAAUGGACCCAGGGGUUGAACAUGGUGAUGUGGUCAGGAGUAGUGAGCAAGCAGAGGAAACUCAGGUUGAUGGUACAGCUUACCUUUCAAUUGCUCACAGAAAAGGAACCAGAGCAUGUACAACCCAUCCUAUUGAGAGAUGGGUCUCCUAUGGUAACCUAAGCCAGAAGUACAGGGCAUUUGUGGAGACUCUCGACAACACACGGAUCCCUAACUCCAUUGAAGAAGCUAUGGGUAUACCUCACUGGAGGACAGCAGUGUUGAAAGAAAUCAAUGCACUUCUGAAGAAUCAGACGUGGGAUACUGUACGGUUACCAGCAGGAAAGUCCACAGUCGAUUGUAAGUUGAUAUUUACGGUGAAGUACACUUCAGAAAGGAAGAUUGAAAGAUAUAAGGCUCGCCUCGUAGCUAGAGGAUUCACCCAGUGUUAUGGAGUGGACUAUGAGGAGACAUUUGCUCUAGUAGCCAAACUUAAGAUUGUGAGGGUUCGCCUAAGCAUUGCAGUAAAUCUAGAUUGGCCUCUCUACCAGCUAGAUGUGAAAAAUAUUUUCCUAAACGGAGACCUAAGUGAGGAGGUGUAAAUAGAAAUGUCCCUGCUGGUGUCACUACUAAACCAGGAAUGGUGUGCAAGCUUAAGAAGGCAUUAUAUGGCCUAAAGCAGUCACCACGGGCCUGGUUUGAACGAUUCUCUCAGUCGGUGAAAGGAUAUGGGUAUUAUCAGUGCCAGACUGAUCAUACUAUGUUUGUGAGACAGAAUCUGGAAGGAAAAAGGGCUAUUCUCAUUGUAUAUGUUGAUGAUAUUAUCAUCACAGGGGAUGAUGAAAAAGAAAUCAGAAAUCUCAAGAGUAAACUGGCACUAGAGUUUGAAAUAAAGGACCUAGGAAAUUUGAGGUAUUUCCUGAGUAUUGAAGUGGCACGAUCAAGCAAAGGAUUGAGCUUAUCCCAACGUAAAUAUGUUCUAGAUCUAUUGAAGGAGACUAGAAUGAUUGGGUGCAAGCCUGCUAGCAAACCAAUGGAACAUAAUUUGAAGUUUACUCAUGACCAAAAAGCAGCACCAGUAGAGAGGGGCACUGGCAGACGGCAUGUGUGAAGGAAUUUGGCUAAGGCGUAUUUUAAAGGAACUCAAAAUGGAGGAUGAGAGUCAUGUUAAGGUGCUGUGUGAUAGUCAAGCAGCACUAAGCAUCGUAAAAAAUCCAGUUCAUCAUGAUCGUACUAAACAUGUCGAACUGGAUCGUCAUUUCAUUUCUGAGAAAGUGAGCAACAAGGAAUUCGAGAUGGAGUAUGUUCCUUCUAAACAGCAAAUCGCAGAUAUUCUUACCAAGGCUCUACCUAGAGAUAUUUUUGACGACUUAGAAAGCAAGUUUGGCCUCCAUAACAUCUACAACCAAGUUUGAGGGGGAGUGUGGAAUUAUAGCAUAUAAUUAGGAUGUGUUAGGCGUAGAAUUAGAAUGAGCUAGCUGUCCUUAGUGAUUCUACCUUUACUAGUUACAUAUAUCUAGCCUAAUUAUAAGCAGUAUAUUUGUAGUAAGAGAAAAAAUUUGUAGUAAGAGGUUGGUUAGGAUAAUCCCUGAUUUAUAAGGAUUUACCAUGUGAUGAUUCUGCUCCCUAAUGGAGCAGCUUCUGUAUAUAUACUCCUAUUAAACAGAAAUAAAAUACAAACCAGAUAUCUUAGCAUUCCGGAAGUCUUUAUAUAGGAUUAUAAAAUAAAUGAUGAUCUUAUUCAUUAGAAUGCUAGGUAUUUAUACAGUAGGAAUAGUUCUAGAUUAGGUAAUUACAUAGGCUCUAUCUACCCCAUCAUAAUCCCACUAAUCUAGAAUUUUACUUACUAUUAUUAUAUGCUGAAAUUAGGCUAAUUACUACCGCUAACAUCUGACUAAUCAUAUCAUACGUCACAUAAUUCUACAUAUCUCUGUAAGUGACUGGAAACAGAUGCGAAGCAAAAGGAAACAUUAAUUAGAACAGGUAAAGCACAACGUUGUUAAAACUUAAAACUGCUAAAUGCAGACACAUCACUUGUAAGUUAUGCCAGAAAGUGAAUAAUAAUUGGUAUACACACAGCUCAAAUGUGUUUACCUCUCGAAGGGCACUUUUGCGAUCUUCAGCAGGAAAUACAUCCACUAAAAAUCUUCAAUAGGAAAUACAUCCACUAAACCAUAGGAAGUUUCACAUAGCAAUAAUACAAAAUCCAAGGAUUCAUGAUAAGCUCCUUUUCUCAAUUGUGCUGCAGAGUGAUUCGGGAGUGGUGGCUUUGCGUUUGACUUAUCAUUAUGUUGCUUUGGUGACCCAGAGCGCUUCUGCGAUGAUAAGAGCACA